AUCUAUCUGACGAGUCCCAAAUAGGACGAAACGGUAAGCGUCAAAUUGUAU
rnacentral:hammerhead_ribozyme from 1 species